AUUUUACCGAGUGCAGUGUGCUGCUGUAGUGAAUGGUGACAUUAUUCUGGUUGCUCGGGAGCUGCUAAUUAACCUGCCUGCAAAACAGAAGGCAACUGUAAUAGCUGGGCCAUGCAAGUGUAUUUCAGUGAUAUUCUGUGAAACAUUCCACAGCUGUGUUGAUCACUCCAUACGUGAUGCAGUGGAAAUACCAUUCAUAAUACUGUGCUUAAUUUUGUGUUUGGGACUGCUGACUUUACAAAGCAGCCAUCCCAUAGCCCUCCAGGGGUGGGAAUAAGUGGAAAUCAGCAGGGCUUCACUACCGCCUUGCAAAGCCCAGCUGUGAGAGGGAGAAAUAUCUCUUCUUUGAGGCAAAUCACGGCUUUUUGAGACAAAAUCUGAACAAAAGUGGACUCGAGUGAGAUAUGUCCGCUUCAGAGCAAUGUGAGCCUCAGUGGGGAGCAGAGGGGCACACCAUGGGGAGGCAGCCAGGCUCUGGAGCCCGCAGGGCUGAGGGCUGUGCCCUGGGUUCAAGGACAGGUGAAAGCAAAUUCCCCUUAAACAUGGCCAUGAGCUGCAGGGGCAGACUGUGCUGGUCAGGGCCGGAGCCCAGCCGCGUCCCAGCCAGAAAACACUGCUCAGUGCGACAGCCAGCUUUCAUUCUUUGGUUUAUUUAGAUUCGCUUCAGAAAAAAAAAAAAUAAUAAUAGUAAUUACUUUCCAGAAGUUUGAAAUUUCCUUCAUAAACUCCAUCCGUAUAAAAAUACAAACAAUAAUAAUAAAAUCAAGACAUUCAGGGGCCCAUCCAAUCUCAUCCCACAGCAGGAACUGCUGCUGAUUAAAAACAAAAAAAAACCCAAACAAACAAAAAAAGGAGGAAAAAAACCCACCCACUCCACCAUUCCAGAGAGCCAGAACCAAACCAAGGGAGCUUUGCAGGACACAGUAUAGCUCUGCCCUGGCUGUGGCUCACAGACCUCUCCUUCAGCUCCUCAGCACACACCAGUACUGGGAUGGGGAGGGGCCUUUCCCCUCUCUUGAACAUUUUCAUGCUUUUCUUUUUGUGCUUCACAGGACCCCAGGUGUUGAGGAAAGGAUUAACCCAUCUGGUGCCCCUGGUUAGAAGGGGUCUGCUCCUAAAUCACCUUCUCCAGCUGUUCUGACCAGAGUGAUCUCUGACUUGCUAAUCUUGCUGUGUGUGCUGGCCCUGGUUGAGGGGAGUAAGGGGAGAUCAGCUCUGUGGCCAUAGACCCUUAUAAUCUAAUGUAGAAGUGCAGUUAUCAUCUUGAUACGCAUAAGAAGAGAGCAGUUUGCUUGUAGUGAGGAGCAUCAGCAGCUGAGUGACGGCGAUGAAGAAGCAGCUGCUCUGGACUGCGGAGACGGAGUCAGGGGUUGUCGAGGCUGUGGUUGGAUCUGUUCGUGGAACUGAAAGAAACCCGCGGGGUAAAUUAGAAGUGCA
ensembl:lncRNA